rnacentral:rRNA from 1 species
AUGAACGCUGGCGGCGUGCCUAAUACAUGCACGUCGCGCGCACGGACGAGAAGCUUGCUUCUCUGAUGUUAGCGGCGGACGGGUGAGUAACACGUGGAUAACCUACCUAUAAGACUGGGAUAACUUCGGGAAACCGGAGCUAAUACCGGAUAAUAUUUUGAACCGCAUGGUUCAAAAGUGAAAGACGGUCUUGCUGUCACUUAUAGAUGGAUCCGCGCUGCAUUAGCUAGUUGGUAAGGUAACGGCUUACCAAGGCAACGAUGCAUAGCCGACCUGAGAGGGUGAUCGGCCACACUGGAACUGAGACACGGUCCAGACUCCUACGGGAGGCAGCAGUAGGGAAUCUUCCGCAAUGGGCGAAAGCCUGACGGAGCAACGCCGCGUGAGUGAUGAAGGUCUUCGGAUCGUAAAACUCUGUUAUUAGGGAAGAACAUAUGUGUAAGUAACUGUGCACAUCUUGACGGUACCUAAUCAGAAAGCCACGGCUAACUACGUG